rnacentral:piRNA from 1 species
UNCACAAAUCAAGUGUGCCUGCUUUUGAUGU